rnacentral:rRNA from 1 species
GAGGCUUGUAUGAAUGGUUGGACAAAAAGCAAGCUGUCUCAAUUAUAAUAAUUGAAAUUAACUUUUAAGUGAAAAGGCUUAAAUAAAUUAAGGGGACGAUAAGACCCUAUAAAGCUUGACAAUAAGUCAUUUAUAUUAUAAAUUAUUAGUAUAACUUGAUAUUAAGUGGUGUUUGUUGCGUUGGGGCGACGAGAAUAUAAAAGGUAACUGUUCUUAUAACAUUUAAUAACAGAAAUAUCUGGAAAUUUAAUGAUCCUUUUUUAAAGAUCAUAAGAUUAAGUUACUUUAGGGAUAACAGCGUAAUCCUCCUUGAGAGUCCAUAUCGACAGGAGGGGUUGCGACCUCGAUGUUGAAUUAAGGUAUCCUUACGAUGCAGCAGUUGUAAAGGAAGGUCUGUUCGACCUUUAAAUC